GUGAGGAAUAUUGGACAAUGGGCGGGAGCCUGAUCCAGCCAUGCCGCGUGCAGGAAGACGGCCCUAUGGGUUGUAAACUGCUUUUAUACGGGAAGAAACACUCCCUCGUGAGGGAGCUUGACGGUACCGUAAGAAUAAGGAUCGGCUAACUCCGUGCCAGCAGCCGCGGUAAUACGGAGGAUCCAAGCGUUAUCCGGAAUCAUUGGGUUUAAAGGGUCCGUAGGCGGGACAAUAAGUCAGCGGUGAAAGUCUGUGGCUCAACCAUAGAAUUGCCAUUGAUACUGUUGUUCUUGAGUGUUUAUGAAGUGGUUGGAAUAUGUAGUGUAGCGGUGAAAUGCAUAGAUAUUACAUAGAACACCGAUUGCGAAGGCAGAUCACUAAUAAAAUACUGACGCUGGUGGACGAAAGCGUAGGUAGCGAACAGGAUUAGAUACCCUGGUAGUCUACGCCGUAAACGAUGGUUACUAGCUGUUCGGUCGUAAGACUGAGUGGCUAAGCGAAAGUGAUAAGUAACCCACCUGGGGAGUACGUUCGCAAGAAUGAAACUCAAAGGAAUUGACGGGGGCCCGCACAAGCGGUGGAGCAUGUGGUUUAACUCGAUGAUACGCGAGGAACCUUACCAGGGCUUAAAUGUAGUUUGACCGAUUUGGAAACAGAUCUUUCGCAAGACAAAUUACAAGGUGCUGCAUGGUUGUCGUCAGCUCGUGCCGUGAGGUGUCAGGUUAAGUCCUAUAACGAGCGCAACCCCUGUUGUUAGUUGCCAGCGAGUAAUGUCGGGAACUCUAACAAGACUGCCAGUGCAAACUGUGAGGAAGGUGGGGAUGACGUCAAAUCAUCACAGCCCUUACGUCCUGGGCCACACACGUGGUACAAUGGUAGGGACAGAGAGCAGCCACGUCGCAAGGCGGAGCGAAUCUAUAAACCCUAUCUCAGUUCGGAUCGGAGUCUGCAACUCGACUCCGUGAAGCUGGAAUCGCUAGUAAUCGCAUAUCAGCC
rnacentral:rRNA from 1 species